rnacentral:rRNA from 1 species
GACGAACGCUGGCGGCGUGCCUAAUACAUGCAAGUUGAGCGCUGAAGGUUGGUACUUGUACCAACUGGAUGAGCAGCGAACGGGUGAGUAACGCGUGGGGAAUCUGCCUUUGAGCGGGGGACAACAUUUGGAAACGAAUGCUAAUACCGCAUAAAAACUUUAAACACAAGUUUUAAGUUUGAAAGAUGCAAUUGCAUCACUCAAAGAUGAUCCCGCGUUGUAUUAGCUAGUUGGUGAGGUAAAGGCUCACCAAGGCGAUGAUACAUAGCCGACCUGAGAGGGUGAUCGGCCACAUUGGGACUGAGACACGGCCCAAACUCCUACGGGAGGCAGAAGUAGGGAAUCUUCGGCAAUGGACGAAAGGCGGACCGAGCAACGCCGCGUGAGUGAAGAAGGUGUUCGGAUCGUAAAACUCUGUUGGUAGAGAAGAACGUUGGUGAGAGUGGAAAGCGCAUCAAGUGACGGUAACUACCCAGAAAGGGACGGCUAACUACGUG